GCUAGCGUAGCUUAACUAAAGCAUAACACUGAAGA
rnacentral:tRNA from 1 species